rnacentral:rRNA from 1 species
CCUACGGGUGGCAGCAGUGAGGAAUAUUGGUCAAUGGGCUUACGCCUGAACCAGCCAAGUCGCGUGAGGGAUGAAGGUUCUAUGGAUCGUAAACCUCUUUUAUAAGGGAAUAAAGUGUGGGACGUGUCCUGUUUUGUAUGUACCUUAUGAAUAAGGAUCGGCUAACUCCGUGCCAGCAGCAGCGGUAAUACGGAGGAUCCGAGCGUUAUCCGGAUUUAUUGGGUUUAAGGGGUGCGUAGGCGGCCUUUUAAGUCAGCGGUGAAAGGCUGUGGCUCAACCAUAGAAUUGCAGUUGAAACUGGGAGGCUUGAGUAUGUUUGAGGCAGGCGGAAUGCGUGGUGGAGCGGUGAAAUGCUUAGAUAUCACGCAGAACCCGGAUGGCGAAGGCAGCCUGCCAAGCCAUGACUGACGCUGAUGCACGAAAGCGUGGGGAUCAAACAGGAUUAGAUACCCCAGUAGUC